rnacentral:rRNA from 1 species
CCCUAUGGGGUGCAGCAGGCGCGAAAACUCCGCAAUGCGCGAAAGCGCGACGGGGCUAUCCCGAGUGCCGUCCGCUGAGGAUGGCUUUUCCACGGUGUAAGGAGCCGUGGGAAUAAGGAGAGGGCAAGCCUGGUGUCAGCCGCCGCGGUAAUACCAGCUCUCCGAGUGGUAGGGAUGAUUAUUGGGCUUAAAGCGUUCGUAGCCGGCCCGAUAAGUCUAUCGUUAAAUCCGACGAUUCAAUCGUUGGGCCGCGGUAGAUACUGUUGGGCUAGGGGGCGGAAGAGGCCGAUGGUAUUUCCGGGGUAGGGGUGAAAUCCUAUAAUCCCGGGGGGACCACCAGUGGCGAAGGCGGUCGGCUAGUACGCGCUCGACGGUGAGGGACGAAAGCUGGGGGAGCGAACCGGAUUAGAUACCCGGGUAGUCCCAGCUGUAAACGAUGCGGGCUAGGUGUUGGGGAGGCCACGAGCCUCUUCAGUGCCGCAUGGAAACAAUUAAGCUCGCCGCCUGGGAAGUACGGCCGCAAGGCUGAAACUUAAAGGAAUUGGCGGGGGAGCACCACAAGGGGUGAAGCUUGCGGUUCAAUUGGAGUCAACGCCGGGAACCUUACCGGGGGCGACAGCAGGAUGAAGGCCAGGUUGAAGAUCUUGCCGGACGAGCUGAGAGGUGGUGCAUGGCCA